AUCUAUACGGUGAAACUGCGAAUGGCUCAUUAAAUCAGUUAUCGUUUAUUUGAUAGUACCUUACUACUUGGAUAACCGUGGUAAUUCUAGAGCUAAUACAUGCUAAAAACCCCGACUUCGGGAGGGGUGUAUUUAUUAGAUAAAAAACCAACGCCCUUCGGGGCUCCUUGGUGAUUCAUAAUAACUAAACGAAUCGCAUGGCCUUGCGCCGGCGAUGGUUCAUUCAAAUUUCUGCCCUAUCAACUUUCGAUGGUAGGAUAGUGGCCUACCAUGGUAUCAACGGGUAACGGGGAAUUAGGGUUCUAUUCCGGAGAGGGAGCCUGAGAAACGGCUACCACAUCCAAGGAAGGCAGCAGGCGCGCAAAUUACCCAAUCCCGACACGGGGAGGUAGUGACAAUAAAUACUGAUACAGGGCUCUUACGGGUCUUGUAAUUGGAAUGAGUACAAUUUAAAUCCCUUAACGAGGAACAAUUGGAGGGCAAGUCUGGUGCCAGCAGCCGCGGUAAUUCCAGCUCCAAUAGCGUAUAUUAAAGUUGUUGCAGUUAAAAAGCUCGUAGUUGAACCUUGGGCCUGGCUGGCCGGUCCGCCUCACCGCGUGCACUGGUCCGGCCGGGCCUUUCCUUCUGGGGAUCCGCAUGCCCUUUACUGGGUGUGUCGGGGAACCAGGACUUUUACUUUGAAAAAAUUAGAGUGUUCAAAGCAGGCCUUCGCUCGAAUACAUUAGCAUGGAAUAAUAGAAUAGGACGUGCGGUUCUAUUUUGUUGGUUUCUAGGACCGCCGUAAUGAUUAAUAGGGAUAGUCGGGGGCAUCAGUAUUCAAUUGUCAGAGGUGAAAUUCUUGGAUUUAUUGAAGACUAACUACUGCGAAAGCAUUUGCCAAGGAUGUUUUCAUUAAUCAGUGAACGAAAGUUAGGGGAUCGAAGACGAUCAGAUACCGUCGUAGUCUUAACCAUAAACUAUGCCGACUAGGGAUCGGGCGAUGUUACUAUUCUGACUCGCUCGGCACCUUACGAGAAAUCAAAGUCUUUGGGUUCCU
rnacentral:rRNA from 1 species